AUUGAACGCUGGCGGCAUGCUUUACACAUGCAAGUCGAACGGUAACAGGGUGUUUGCACCGCUGACGAGUGGCGAACGGGUGAGUAAUACAUCGGAAUGUACCCAGUAAUGGGGGAUAACGCUUCGAAAGGAGUGCUAAUACCGCAUACGCCCUGAGGGGGAAAGUGGGGGACCGCAAGGCCUCACGUUAUUGGAGCAGCCGAUGGCUGAUUAGCUAGUUGGUGAGGUAAAGGCUCACCAAGGCGACGAUCAGUAGCGGGUCUUAGAGGACGAUCCGCCACACUGGAACUGAGACACGGUCCAGACUCCUACGGGAGGCAGCAGUGGGGAAUUUUGGACAAUGGACGCAAGUCUGAUCCGGCCAUUGCGCGUGCAGGAUGAAGGCCCUCGGGUUGUAAACUGCUUUUGUACGGAACGAAAAGGUCUCUCUUAAUACGGGGGACUCAUGACGGUACCGUAAGAAUAAGCACCGGCUAACUACGUGCCAGCCGCCGCCGUAA
rnacentral:rRNA from 1 species